GUUCGGGGGAGGCAGAAAAGGAAAGACGACCUUAACAGAAGCCCAAAAGACUCCUUCAGAGGGUAGCCUCCAUUUGCCGAAACUAGAAGGAAAGCCCACAGACAGUAACAAAGACCCAGCACAGCCAAAAACAAAGAAGAGAGAAGUCAAGUUAUCAGCCUCCCAUUGCUCCAAUAUUAGUCAUCAUCUGACUGCAGUUAUGUGAGCCAGUACUGCCAAGGCAAAAUUCUCAUAUCGAAUUCCUAACCCUUAAAAACUGAGAGAAAAUAAAAAGGUUGUUUUUUUCUUCA